rnacentral:rRNA from 1 species
GCGAAGUUGAAAUGUUUGUGAUGAUGCAAUCUACCCGCGGCUAGACGGAAAGACCCCAUGAACCUUUACUGUAGCUUUGCAUUGGACUUUGAAUCAAUCUGUGUAGGAUAGGUGGGAGGCUUUGAAGCGGGGACGCCAGUUCUCGUGGAGCCAUCCUUGAAAUACCACCCUGGUUCAUUUGAGGUUCUAACCUUGGCCCGUUAUCCGGGUCGGGGACAGUGCAUGGUAGGCAGUUUGACUGGGGCGGUCUCCUCCUAAAGUGUAACGGAGGA